AUAUAAGAAAGCAUAUAAAUGUAUAAUUUCCAAAGUAAAGUAAUAUGAAUAGAUUUAAAGCAAAUAAAAACUUUUGUUAAAAGUAACAGUUUUGUAGCUUACAGAUCAUGGUCAUAUGUGAAAACAACAGAAGUAUAUAGAAAAAGGCAAAUCAUUUGAAGGUGAGGUUAUAUAUAUUAUAUGUAUACGAGUGCACUUCUUCAUUGGUUCUAGAGUCCCCUCAGGAGGAGUAAACCACUCAACAACAUGAGCAGAUACACAGAUGGUGACGAGAUAGCUGGACUGGAGUCAAAGAUGCUGGGGAAAUCAUCGUCCGUAGUGACAACUAUAGAAGACGG